rnacentral:rRNA from 1 species
GAUGAACGCUGGCGGCGUGCCUAAUACAUGCAAGUCGAGCGAACAGACGAGGAGCUUGCUCCUCUGACGUUAGCGGCGGACGGGUGAGUAACACGUGGAUAACCUACCUAUAAGACUGGGAUAACUUCGGGAAACCGGAGCUAAUACCGGAUAAUAUAUUGAACCGCAUGGUUCAAUAGUGAAAGACGGUUUUGCUGUCACUUAUAGAUGGAUCCGCGCCGCAUUAGCUAGUUGGUAAGGUAACGGCUUACCAAGGCAACGAUGCGUAGCCGACCUGAGAGGGUGAUCGGCCACACUGGAACUGAGACACGGUCCAGACUCCUACGGGAGGCAGCAGUAGGGAAUCUGACGCAAUGGGCGAAAGCCUGACGGAGCAACGCCGCGUGAGUGAUGAAGGUCUUCGGAGCGUAAAACUCUGUUAUUAGGGAAGAACAAAUGUGUAAGUAACUAUGCACGUCUUGACGGUACCUAAUCAGAAAGCCACGGCUAACUACGUG